rnacentral:rRNA from 1 species
GAUGAACGCUGGCGGCGUGCCUAAUACAUGCAAGUCGAGCGAACAGACGAGAGUGCUUGCACUCUCUGACGUUAGCGGCGGACGGGUGAGUAACACGUGGGUAACCUACCUAUAAGACUGGUAUAACUUCGGGAAACCGGAGCUAAUACCGGAUAAUAUUUAGCUUCGCAUGACGCAAUAGUGAAAGACGGUUCUGCUGUCACUUAUAGAUGGACCCGCGGUGUAUUAGCUAGUUGGGGAGGUAACGGCUCACCAAGGCAACGAUACAUAGCCGACCUGAGAGGGUGAUCGGCCACACUGGAACUGAGACACGGCCCAGACUCCUACGGGAGGCAGCAGUAGGGAAUCUUCCGCAAUGGACGAAAGUCUGACGGAGCAAUGCCGCGUGAGUGAAGAAGGUUUUCGGAUCGUAAAACUCUGUUGUAAGGGAAGAACAAGUACGUUAGUAACUGAACGUACCUUGACGGUACCUUACCAGAAAGCCACGGCUAACUACGUG